GAUAAUUUUCAACUUAAAGCUUAAUGUUUUUGUAUAGAUAUACUACUGGAUUCUAAAAUAACCCCAACCACACACACACACACACACACACACACACACACACAAAGUCCAAAAUUCUAGAUAAAAAAAAAAAAUCCCUACUGCACAGUGAUAUUAUCUGUACUGUGCAGCACGCUGGACUUAACAUAGUGUUGGCCUUCGGAUGUUAAAUAACAAUAAACCUCAACCUCAACUGAAUACAAAUGGGGGGUGGGGUGGUUUUGUUUUUAAGGCUCAGCACUUUUGUAGCAUCUGCCACUACGCAUUUUCCAGGCAUUGAUUAGCCAUGCAACUCCCAUAGGCGUGAAGUCCAGUUUUUGCAGAUAAAGAGCAACAGUGGUGAGAUGAUUUGCCCAAAGUCAAACUGAGUCAUUGGCAGAACCCAAAUAGCUUUGGACUCUAUUUGUUACUAGUCUUAUGUUUUCCAUUAAAUUAAUAUUUCUUCCAAUAAAUAAACAGUAUUUAAAAAUAAAUAGACGUUCUUUUACCUUGUUAUGUAUCUCCACCAGAGGUGCUUUGAGAUCCUUGGAUAUGAAGGUAUUUUCUUACUUAUGUGACCUGCAAAAUUAAGUUUAGUUUCACAAGAAAUAAGCAAUUUUUUUAAAAUUCUGAUGUGAUAAAGCUAAAAAAACUAUGGGCUUUGUUUUACACGUGUAGGCCAUUUCAUACUCUGAGCUUUAUGUUGAAAAAAAAAAGUCAAAGCAGAGAAAUUGUAGAAGAGUUUGAGAGCGAAAAUGAAAGUCCCUAUAAAUGAUUCAAGAAGCUUGGAUGAACUCAUAAUGUUUGUGAAACUAAACCCAUAACACAGUCAAGAUGAAUAAUGGAAGGACAGUUUGGGUAGUAAGACCCAGCUUUACCAUCCGGAGAUAACUCUAAUGUAUUUAGAAGAUGAGUUAAGGGAGGCGGACUUUCAAGCUGGACUGAGUAGGCACUGGAAUCAUAACCUAAUGGUGUCAUUUCAAAUCAGCCCAAGCUGUCAAAUUUUUUUCAGAGCAAGAUUGCCUUACUGUUCUUUCUGAAAAAAAAAAAAAAAAUUCAGAAUUUCAUAGAAAAAAUUCAGAAGCUCAAAUUGCGCCUGAAUGUGUAAAUGCCAUAGAACAGGGGUCAGCAAACUUUUUGCUAUAAAAGCCCAGAGAGCACAUAUCUUAGACUUUGCAGACCAUCCAGUUUCUGUCACAACUGCUCAACUCUGCAGCUGUAGCACACAAGCAGCCCAUAGAAAAUAUGUAAACAAAUGAGCCUGGCUGUGUUCUAAUAAAGCUUUUAUUUGUGGCCCUUGACAUUAGAAUUUCAUGUACUUUUCAUGUAUUACAAAAUAUUCUUUUAAUUCAACCAUUGAAAAAAAUGUAAAAACAUUCUUAGCUCCUGGGCUUCACAAAACCAGGGGGUGGGCAGGAUUGGGCCCAUGGGCUGUUGUUUACUUACCCAACUUUGGAAGACUAAAGUUGAACUGCUGAACUUCUUGUACCAGAUGUUACUUGGUUUAUGAAGAUGUUUGUAUAGCAAUCAAAAAUCAGUGUCAUGCAAAAUCAUGUUUUAGAUAUUUAUAUUUAAUGAAAAUAUUUCAAGUAAUUGUUUAAACAUUCCUAUAACUAAAAAACUAUAGAAAAGAAUACUCUCGCUAGUAAUUUCAUGGAUCACAUUUCCAUUGACAUACUCUUUUCUUCCCUCUAAGAUGGUGAAGAGGAGUGGCACCAAGAGGACCUGGAUUUUGACACCUAAGAAGUAUCACUCUUUUUCAAGCUGACAAGUAACCCCAUUAUCUUUUAAAAGGUCAGCCUAAAGAAGAUUUGAACUCUCUCUGAAAACCUGAUGGUCCCACUUCUUCACUGAGGCAGGGAGAUUUGCCAUCUACAAUGUGUUGACAGUGUCUCCCCUUGUAAGAUGAGAUGGCUACUACACCUCCAAAUACUACAUCAUUAUACUCCACUCAAGAAGGAAGAGGAUAAGGACAAAAAAUGUUUUCCAUCUCAC